CAGCAGCCGCGGUAAUACGUAGGUGGCAAGCGUUGUCCGGAAUUAUUGGGCGUAAAGGGUACGUAGGCGGUUUUUUAAGUCAGGUGUGAAAGCGUGAGGCUUAACCUCAUUAAGCACUUGAAACUGGAAGACUUGAGUGAAGGAGAGGAAAGUGGAAUUCCUAGUGUAGCGGUGAAAUGCGUAGAUAUUAGGAGGAAUACCGGUGGCGAAGGCGACUUUCUGGACUUUUACUGACGCUCAGGUACGAAAGCGUGGGGAGCAAACAGGAUUAGAUACCCGUGUAGUCCCUGUCUCUUAUACA
rnacentral:rRNA from 1 species